UACGGAGGGGGCGAGCGUUAUUCGGAAUUAUUGGGCCUAAAGCAUCCGUAGCCGGUUCUACAAGUCUUCCGUUAAAUCCACCUGCUUAACAGAUGGGCUGCGGAAGAUACUAUAGAGCUAGGAGGCGGGAGAGGCAAGCGGUACUCGAUGGGUAGGGGUAAAAUCCGUUGAUCCAUUGAAGACCACCAGUGGCGAAGGCGGCUUGCCAGAACGCGCUCGACGGUGAGGGAUGAAAGCUGGGGGAGCAAACCGG
rnacentral:rRNA from 1 species